rnacentral:snRNA from 1 species
AUAUUUUGCCUGCCCUUGGUAUAGAUAGUGGUUUUCACAGGAUGAAGAUUGCCCCUUGCACUCUGCGUGUGCUGACCCCUGUGAUUUCCCCAAACAUGGGAAACUCGACUGCAUAACUUGUGGUAGUGGGGGACUGCUUUCACGCUUUCCCUUG